GGGAAGAGUUAUUAAUCCCAGUUUGUCACUGCAGGGGGAAUAGUUAUAACUUGCAUGCCAAUAGCAAUGAUUCAGUGGUAAGUGACCAACACAGUCUGUAAGCUCCCUGUCAAGUCUGCAUUUCCUCCUGAAAAGCUUCCAUGUAUUUCUCCCGAAAACCUCAGUGUUUCCACGCUUGAAUAUAAAAACUUCAUUUGAAUGCAAAUAUCCUUCCCCUGUCAGUAGCCCUGAAAUCACUGCAGAGGAUUGAAGCAAACAGUGAUUUCUAAGAAGUGUAGCCUGCAGUAUCUGUGGAGAAACCAGAAACAGCAGCUCUGGCUAGUCAUUGACAGAAACUCUGCUCCCCAAGAAAUGGCAAAAAGGAAUGGCACAAAUGACAGAGCUGACAAGCAGAGAAAUUGCCAUUAAAACUGGUAGAGGCAACAAACACAUUUUCUUGUGCUGAGGGACUCUGCUGAUGUGCGCAACAGAGAAAAACUCUGAAAGAGGGACCCUGCCAUCGAUGUUUUGUUCUCAUGCCAAACUCCUGGACUAUAAAAAUCUGCCUAUAAGCCAAGAAAAAACACUUCCCUGAAAGGAUUUUCAAGUUACGACUUCAUGGCAAGAUGGAAAUAAAAAAUGGGAGAUCAUUUUGGAUCUUCUGCCU
rnacentral:lncRNA from 1 species